CUUCAGAGUGAUGCCUUGAGAGAAGCUAUUACUCAGAUAUCAACUGAUGCCAAGGAGAAGAAGCUCAACCUCAUUGAAACUGUUGAACUGCAGAUUGGGUUGAAGAAUUAUGAUCCCCAGAAAGACAAACGUUUCAGUGGUUCAUUAAAGUUGCCUCAUAUUACUCGCCCCAAGAUGAAGGUCUGCACGCUUGGUGAUGCUCAGCAUAUUGGAGAGGUGUUGAUAAACAAUUUUGAACCGAUAGUCAAGAUGGUUCUGGGUUCAUUUCAAGAACCUCACCCUCGGGUCAGGUGGGCAGCCAUCAACGCUAUUGGACAACUGUCUACAGACUUGGGGACAGACUUGCAAGUUCAGUACCACCAACAGGUUUUACCAGCUUUAGCCAAUGGAUGAUUUCCAGAACCCUCGUGUACAGGCACACAUGUUGCCUCAGCACUGCUCAAUUGUAGUUAGAAUUGUACCCCGAACAUUUUGAC